GUGUCAGCCGCCGCGGUAAUACGAAGGGGGCUAGCGUUGUUCGGAAUCACUGGGCGUAAAGGGCGCGUAGGCGGCUUGAUAAGUCGGGGGUGAAAGCCUGUGGCUCAACCACAGAAUUGCCUUCGAUACUGUCUGGCUUGAGACCGGAAGAGGUAAGUGGAAGUGCGAGUGUAGAGGUGAAAUUCGUAGAUAUUCGCAAGAACACCAGUGGCGAAGGCGGCUUACUGGUCCGGUUCUGACGCUGA
rnacentral:rRNA from 1 species